GUACGGUACGGCCCCGAAACACCGCCGGCCGUACGUACGAUGUUUCCCUUUCGAGAAACGUCAUACGGUACGGCCAGCGGCGUUUCGGGGCCGUACCAUGC
rnacentral:pre_miRNA from 1 species